UGGAACCGAUAAUGGAUCAGGCCUCGAUCAGUCCUGUUGUCUAUGCGAUGAUGAAGCGUUGGAUCGGUGAUCUGGUCCAAAAUAUAGAUAGGUCCAGG